rnacentral:misc_RNA from 1 species
GAAAUGCGAUAAGUAAUGCGAAUUGCAGAAUUUCCGUGAGUCAUCGAAUCUUUGAACGCACAUUGCGCCCACUGGUAUUCCGGUGGGCAUGCCUGUUCGAGCGUCAUUAUCCUCCCUCAAACCCCGGGUUUGGUGUUGGACCCAAGUUGUGUGAACAACUGGUCUCAAAGACAAUGACGGCGUCCGUGGGACCCUCGGUGCAACGAGCUUUUAAAAGAGCACGCGUCGAGUUUCAAGGACCUUCCGGGCCGGUCUCCUUCUUUAUUUUACAAAGGUUGACCUCGGAUCAGGUAGGAAUACCCGCUGAACUUAA